UGGGGAAUAUUGGACAAUGGGCGAAAGCCUGAUCCAGCCAUGCCGCGUGAGUGAUGAAGGCCCUAGGGUUGUAAAGCUCUUUUGUGCGGGAAGAUAAUGACGGUACCGCAAGAAUAAGCCCCGGCUAACUCCGUGCCAGCAGCCGCGGUAAUACGAAGGGGGCUAGCGUUGCUCGGAAUCACUGGGCGUAAAGGGUGCGUAGGCGGGUUUCUAAGUCAGAGGUGAAAGCCUGGAGCUCAACUCCAGAACUGCCUUUGAUACUGGAAGUCUUGAGUUCGGGAGAGGUGAGUGGAACUGCGAGUGUAGAGGUGAAAUUCGUAGAUAUUCGCAAGAACACCAGUGGCGAAGGCGGCUCACUGGCCCGAUACUGACGCUCAUGCACGAAAGCGUGGGGAGCAAACA
rnacentral:rRNA from 1 species